AAUCUGUAUCUCCCUCUUUAAUGCAGAGCUUUUAUUUAUUUCCAAUGUAUUUACUGCCGAUUGUCCAGCAGUAUCAGAAGGACAGUGGCAUGAUGGUUAUACGAUGCUGAAGCUCCAGCUCUCCACUUGGAGCCUGCUAUAAUCCAAGCCAGUAACAAAUCAAGAAUCAUAAGCAUGGCUACGGUUGAGAACCUACCAUCAGUCUGGCCUCUCUCUGAUAGAAACCCUCCACCAUCAGCAGUCUCAGUACAAAUGUCAGCACAGAGUGGUUUAUAGGAACGGAUGCUGUGAGUGACAAUGUUUGGGAAGACGAUAACAUCUGGAAUCGCUGCAGCUAAAGUUGAGAGGUUUUGGGGGGUGUAAAGAUCUUUAAAUUCCUGAUUUUUGAAUGUCGUGAUAUUGUGCUAGCUAAAAAAAAUAAUCCUGUAACAUCUGUCUCCACCUUUAUAUCUGUAAAUCCUGUCUGCACCUUUCUGUAACUGCCCUUCUGUAACCUACUUCACUUAGAACAAUUGGUAAAGCACUUAUUUCCAUAAUGAUUAUGCAGAGAACUACAUAAAACCCUAGAGUUACAGCUAAGGACUUAUAAUAGUCCUUUCAAUUAUAAAAGAGGAGAAAAUAGGGGACUUUAUUAAUUGAAGAUGACAGGCUCUGUUCUGUUUCCUCUUCUGUAAAGUUUCAAAGCUUCUUUGAAACAAAUGCAGAACUUAAUUGUAUAGGAACAGUGUUAUCUAGUGUGCACCAUAUCAAAAAUGCUCAUUCAUUUGGGAUUGUGUUGUGAUGUAGUCAGAAGAAGCAGCCCCUCAAAAAAGCUCUAGAGAUCGAGAAAUGAGGUGGGUGAUGGGAAGAACUCAUUGAAUUAUUCAGAGUCAAGAACAGCAAUGUAUGCAGGUGCAUAACUUACUUUGUAACCUUUAGCUUCUGUUUAAUAUCUCUUUCUCAAGUAAAGAAAAAGUAUCACUUAUGCAGUAACUAAUCACUUUGACAUGAGAGUUUCCUGAUUAUGGAAGUUUCGCAGAAAAACAAAAGCACUCUAUCUGCUCUUCUUUGCACAGCCUUCAUCAUCUUUACUGAAUACCUAUAAAACAUUUUACACAGAAGUUUUACAUUUCAUGUGUUAUAAAAACAAAUAUAUAAAAACCUGUGUUUGAGACUGCAGGUAAAGGGAGAGCUGGUCUUUAAGUGCUUGAACUGAGAGUAGCUCACUCUGAUAUUUAGAUCUUCUAAAGACUUGUAUUUAUCCUGAAUGGAGCUCCCCUUCAUCUUGGUACAAAU
rnacentral:lncRNA from 1 species